rnacentral:lncRNA from 1 species
UCGACGUCGGGGUCAAUGAAAACAAACGGGGAGCCCAGGGGGAAGGAAGGCAGGCGAGGAAGAGGCAGCGCCGGGGCGCCGGAGGGAGCAGCCGGGCUGCGGAAGCGCGAGCAGGAGGCCGGUCGCGGGCGCAUUUUUGCCGUUGUCGCGGCCGCCGCCGCCGAGGCUUACCCGGGAAUGUCUGGGCCCGCGCCUCGCGGCCCCCAAGCUCCACGCUGCGCCCGCUGUCCCGGCCUCUAAAGGCCGCCACGUCCCUGCGGCGCGCGCAGGCAGAAAGCGGCUUCGUGCCGGCGGAGGGGGCCCGGGCGGGCCGGGAGGGGCUGCCCCAGGCCCUGCGCCUACCCCAUCACCGCGGCCGGCGCCGGGCCGGGAGGAUGCGCGGUGUGGGGCUCUGAAGCAUGGAGGGGGUGUUGUACAAGUGGACCAACUAUCUCACAGGCUGGCAGCCUCGUUGGUUUGUUUUAGAUAAUGGAAUCUUAUCCUACUAUGAUUCACAAGAUGAUGUUUGCAAAGGGAGCAAAGGAAGCAUAAAGAUGGCAGUUUGUGAAAUUAAAGUUCAUUCAGCAGACAACACAAGAAUGGAAUUAAUCAUUCCUGGAGAGCAGCAUUUCUACAUGAAGGCAGUGAAUGCAGCUGAAAGACAGAGGUGGCUGGUCGCUCUGGGGAGCUCCAAAGCAUGUUUG